ensembl:lncRNA
CGGGCACGGGGUGCCCCCAGGCGGAGCCGUCCUCUCCCGUCUGCCUGGAGGCUGCUCUCCGGGACGGGGCCCUUAAAGGGCGGUGCGAACGCUUUAUGUUGGCUGUGCGAGGAGGCGACUCUCCUGGCGGAGCUGCUGGCUUUGGGCUGAUGCUCGAGUGGCUGUGGGAGAAGGGCACCUGGUCUGCAGUGCCCACCCAGGCCUAAAACGCAGCCAGGUCAUGGGGAAGUGUCCUGCCAUAGAGCCGGGCCAGAAGGCUGUAGGAUGGCCUGAACACAAACCCUGAAUCUACAGUUUGACAGAAAGUCUUUCAGAGGCGUGAGUCCUACCGCCCCUCUUAGCAUCUUUGAAACAGGAGCUAAAAUGCUGAUUUCAUGUUGGGUAUGUUGUAUUAUGGAAAAAAGAUGGAGACAAUGGAAACUGAAACACUGAAGAGAGGAAUACAGGAGUAUAAGUAUAUAAAAAUUAAGAAGAAAUAAACAAGGGACUGGGAGGACACAAGCACUUCAGGAUGGUUUAUUGAGUCAGUGCAAAAGAUGACAUUUAAGUCUUCAGUAACAGUCAAAGAGUUUGAUCUCUGUUUACAUCUGGUGCUAAUAUUUGUGAGUCCUCCUCUGGGUGAAGAGGAAAAUGCCACCAGCACAAAACACGUAUUCUGGUCCAGAAGCAAACGCUGAGCAUUCAAACCCUUCCACUCCCUGCGCAUACAACUCGCACCAGGGGCUGUGCUGCCCAGCAGAGACUUGCACGAACACUGCCCUAAUUCAGUCUGUGGCUUUCUUUGGGCAAUUAGGGAUAGGGUUUCUGAGGAACUUGUAAUUAACCAGGCUUAACUGACAGAUGCUGUCUUACCAACGUGAGCCAACGCUGCUAGCACCCAGUGAAUUUGGAACAACGUUCCCAUUCUUCCCCCUGCUUCUAGUCUUGCAAUUUGAGGCAUAAGAAAAUGCACAUGAACAAAAUGCUGAAGCAUAUCUCUGUUGGCCGCCUUCUUCCAGGAGCAUCACACGGAGUUAAAGCCCAUUUGCAUUUAAUGGGACAGCUGCAUUAUAAAAAGCCAGGCACUUUAUUUAAAGCAUCCUUUUUCACAUUGACUCCCCAAAGAUACACCCUAGAUAAAAGCCCGCUUGCUCUUACUUCAUGACUCCCGCUUCUCCUUGCUGGCUUUGCUAAGAACUCACCGCGAGCCCUGACCUCUGCCAUUGCCGUUGAGUUGAGCAGAAUCAGGCUGAAAAUGUAAGGAUUAUCAAGUCCAAUGAAAAUAUUUGCCAAGCCAUCAAUUGCAGGUUGGGCAACAGGAAGCGUUUGGCUCCACGCAUCACACAGGGCAGUGAGCCUCAUCGUCUGAACGUUCUGCGCCGAGCCUUCUGCCCACCACCAAUCCAUUCACUGAGCCAAGGCACUGACAACCAGAGAAGACCUUGUCACUGUGCAGUUCCUGCUCAGCAAUAUCUGUAACACUAGUUUGAGCUUCUGCUAUUGUGGUUGUUUUGGCCACAGGUCUAAACCAUUGCACCACACAGGAAAGCUGGGAAGAAAAUUAACUCCAUCUCAGGCAGUGUCAGUACACACAGAUGGAAGGAGAUCACAACAGGGAUGAAGAGUGGAGAGACAAAAAUCACAGACUACACAUCAGAAAAUGACAUGCUUCAAACCAACAGAGUAACGUUUGCUGUUUACACUCCGCUCCAUCUCAAAAUCAGCACCUAAACAAGUGAAAAACAGUGCAGCCCACAUGCCACUCUGCUCAGAAAAGAAUCACCAUUGUGCAGCACUGCUCCAUGGUUUUUUACUUUUACACUGAGGACUGGAGUUUGGCCUUGGAAGCACUAAUGAGUGACCUAGUGGUGCAGAGCUGUCAAGGAUCAUCUGUCAUUUCAGACACAGAACUCAGAUGCUGUGAUUCAUGGCCUGUGUUUGGUGUCAACAGGAACAUUGUCCCAGUAAUGACAAACAAUUCAGCCUGCAUGUCCUUCUGCCCACCUGAGCAGCUCCCAUGGUAAGUGAGCUAGCAGCUGCGUUUCAUGGCUCUUCCAAGAACGAUUUGACAAGAAGAUUUGCUUUCCCUUGUUCAGAACACAUCAGAUAGAUGGCCAGUACUUCCUUUCUUGUUGCAAGUCCCAGCUCCUGAGGUAUGCUCUGUGAUGCUUCAGUAGAGUCCUUCAUUAAGUAUACUUUUGUCUUAAUUGGACUGAGAUCAUGUAUCUGUAUUUUACAGUAGCAGUUCAUCAUGUGAUGCAAAUAAGGCAUACAAAGAAAAAUGAUAUUUGUAAAAACGUAUUUGCAAUACCAAAAAGAAUGCCAGGAAGGAAAUUUGUAAUAAAAGAUGUAGGAUUUAUGGCUCCUUUUUUGCUUCACAUCCUAAUCUAAUUAUGAACUCCUUCGAACGGCAGUUCCCUUGUGACGCUCAUUUAAGAGAAGUAAUAACCAGUGCAAUGAUUAAAACCAACAUUGUAGAACUACUCCAUCAUACCCAAGAUCCAAAUCCAUCACAGAGCUGUCUGAUCUGAUCUGCUGGUGCCCAGCCCCCGGGUAUUAAAUACCUUCUCUGGCUGAUAUAAUUAUGUACAUUUGAUAAAUUUAUGUAUUCCUGCUUUUUUUCAAGUUGAAAAAUGCUUCAUUUUGAACAAAGUCUUCCAACAUGAGCUAAAAUGGAAGCAGCAUAAUGCUUUUCUUCGGGCAGCCCCACCCCACAGCUCCUCCCUGCAGCUGCUGGCAGGUGGUUUCAGACCCCCCGCACCACCCCCUGGCUGCACGCCCCUCUCCUUGCCCCAUGGCCCCGGCUCUGACACUCGAUGGCUGCUCAGCAGGCCAGGUCAGGAACCAAUUCAGCUGAAAAUGAAUGCCCAAUGCGUGUCCCCCCCCCAAAAAAAAGUGACUAAUUUUCAGCUUUCCUUGCCGUAUGGGCAAGAAAACAGCAAACAAAUGCAGUCAUUUGUUUGCUCCUGCCUCUUCCCCAGUACUUUUUAAACUCUGAUUUUAUUCCCCAAGGGAGACAAAUUUAGCACUUUAGGUGCCAAAUCCAGGAAUAUGACUGCACACAUUUCUGAACUCAUGCAUUCUUUCAAAUGGAAGCAAGGAGACUCUUAUCUCCAGAGAUCUAAAUCUGAUUGCAACACAGACUAACAAGGGGUCCAGAAGUACUUUGAAUGUCACAAGAACGUGAAAGUGAGAGCCUAAAUUCUUGUCCUGAGAACUAGACUGAUAACAUGCUGUAUAGAUAACAUUUUUAAUUUAUUCAUUAUAUUCUGAUAAUUUUUGUAAUUACAUUAAUAAAGUGGAUAACGUUCUUUGAAGUUUAAUUUAGAAAGCACCAUGUUAUCGACAUGUAAUAAACCUCAUGUAUCUGUCCUCCUUCUUUUACUAUCAUGUCUAGAGACUCCUAUUAAAAGCUUUUAAAAA